rnacentral:rRNA from 1 species
UCCUACGGGGGGCAGCAGUGGGGAAUAUUGGACAAUGGGCGCAAGCCUGAUCCAGCCAUGCCGCGUGAGUGAUGAAGGCCCUAGGGUUGUAAAGCUCUUUCACCGAUGAAGAAAAUGACGGUAAUCGGAGAAGAAGCCCCGGCUAAGUUCGUGCCAGCAGCCGCGGUAAUACGAAGGGGGCUAGCGUUGUUCGUAAUUACUGGGCGUAAAGCGCACGUAGGCGGAUAGUGAAGUCAGGGGUGAAAUCCCGCAGCUCAACUGCGGAACUGCCUUUGAUACUGGGUAUCUUGAGUAUGGAAGAGGUGAGUGGAAUUCCGAGUGUAGAGGUGAAAUUCGUAGAUAUUCGGAGGAACACCAGUGGCGAAGGCGGCUCACUGGUCCAUUACUGACGCUGAGGUGCGAAAGCGUGGGGAGCAAACAGGAUUAGAUACCCUUGUAGUC